CCUACGUGAGGCAGCAGUGGGGAAUAUUGCGCAAUGGGCGAAAGCCUGACGCAGCGACGCCGCGUGAGGGAUGAAGGUCUUCGGAUCGUAAACCUCUGUCAGCAGGGAAGAACGGUCACUGUGCUAAUCAGCAGUGAAUUGACGGUACCUGCAAAGGAAGCACCGGCUAACUCCGUGCCAGCAGCCGCGGUAAUACGGAGGGUGCGAGCGUUAAUCGGAAUUACUGGGCGUAAAGCGCUCGUAGGCGGUAUGUCAAGUCAAGGGUGAAAUCCCCGCGCUCAACGUGGGAACUGCCUUUGAAACUGGCAAACUGGAGUGUGUGAGAGGAUAGUGGAAGUCCAGGUGUAGGAGUGAAAUCCGUAGAUAUCUGGAGGAACAUCAGUGGCGAAGGCGACUAUCUGGCACAUAACUGACGCUGAGGAGCGAAAGCGUGGGUAGCAAACAGGAUUAGAUACCCUGGUAGUC
rnacentral:rRNA from 1 species